UACGUAGGGUGCAAGCGUUAAUCGGAAUUACUGGGCGUAAAGCGUGCGCAGACGGUUGCGUAAGUCAGAUGUGAAAGCCCCGGGCUCAACCUGGGAAUUGCAUUUGAGACUGCGUAGCUAGGGUGCGGAAGAGGGAAGCGGAAUUUCCGGUGUAGCGGUGAAAUGCGUAGAUAUCGGAAGGAACACCAGUGGCGAAAGCGGCUUCCUGGUCCAGCACCGACGUCAGGCACGAAAGCGUGGGGAGCAACAGGG
rnacentral:rRNA from 1 species